UCUCACUCCCCUCCUGGAGUGGGACACACCUCUUCACUACAUUUCCUUAGUUCUUGUCCCCUCCACCAACGAAAAGCAAGAGGCAUUGACUUGAAGCUGCUUGGUUUCUGCUCUGCGAAAUCCAGGAGGAUUGAUAUUCUCCAACGCAGAGCGGAUCGAUGCACGUAAUUCUUGCAGAUUUCCUUUGGCUUUGCGCCGUGAGGGAGGGAGACAGUUGGAAACGUCGUGAUUUUGAGAGGAAGCCGGUGUUUCCUGAAGCCUUUGUUUUGGGUGCGCCUUAACCGCACCUGCGUUUCUUGCAGCUUCUUACAAAGAAACUUCUUUUUUUUUUUUUGAGAGUCAAAAUAGUUGAACUGAAGUUAUUUUCAACCGGAGGGAAAUGUUUGAAAGCUCAGCCUUUGUGAGCCCAAAGAGCAUUGUUUCAUCGACAGUGAUUGAAACAGUCAUUUCCUUUGGGAAGUCUUUGCCAUUGAAGCAAACUUUGAUUUUGGAAGCAAAAGUUUUGGCUUUAAAGAUGGGAUCCAAGUGUUACACCUUCUUCUCAUAGCUCCCCGGCCAUUUAUCGGAGUGCUGUGAUAGUAAGGUUGUUUGCAUUUGAACAGAAAGACCUGCUCUGGCCAGCUGGGCUGAUGCUAAGAGGCAGUAUAGUUCAGUGGUGAGGAGCACAUCCCUUACAGCUGGGCUGCCUGGGUUUGCCUCACUCUGCCACUUGCAAGCUGGAAUCUUCGGCAAAUUACAUAACUGUCCUGAACUUCAGUUUCUGCCUUUAUAAAAUGGGGAUGAAGAUAGUAUUUAUUUCCUAUGAUUUUUUAUAAUUAUUAAUUAACAUA
rnacentral:lncRNA from 1 species